UAGAGUUUGAUCCUGGCUCAGGAUGAACGCUGGCGGCGUGCCUAAUACAUGCAAGUCGAACGCACAGCGAAAGGUGCUUGCACCUUUCAAGUGAGUGGCGAACGGGUGAGUAACACGUGGAUAACCUACCUCAAGGUUGGGGAUAACAUUUGGAAACAGAUGCUAAUACCGAAUAAAACUUCGUAUCGCAUGAUACAAGGUUAAAAGGCGCUACGGCGUCACCUAGAGAUGGAUCCGCGGUGCAUUAGUUAGUUGGUGGGGUAAAGGCCUACCAAGACAAUGAUGCAUAGCCGAGUUGAGAGACUGAUCGGCCACAUUGGGACUGAGACACGGCCCAAACUCCUACGGGAGGCUGCAGUAGGGAAUCUUCCACAAUGGGCGAAAGCCUGAUGGAGCAACGCCGCGUGUGUGAUGAAGGCUUUCGGGUCGUAAAGCACUGUUGUAUGGGAAGAACAGCUAGAGUAGGGAAUGACUUUAGUUUGACGGUACCAUACCAGAAAGGGACGGCUAAAUACGUGCCAGCAGCCGCGGUAAUACGUAUGUCCCGAGCGUUAUCCGGAUUCAUUGGGCGUAAAGCGAGCGCAGACGGUUGAUUAAGUCUGAUGUGAAAGCCCGGAGCUCAACUCCGGAAAGGCAUUGGAAACUGGUCAACUUGAGUGCAGUAGAGGUAAGUGGAACUCCAUGUGUAGCGGUGGAAUGCGUAGAUAUAUGGAAGAACACCAGCGGCGAAGGCGGCUUACUGGACUGUAACUGACGUUGAGGCUCGAAAGUGUGGGUAGCAAACAGGAUUAGAUACCCUGGUAGUCCACACCGUAAACGAUGAACACUAGGUGUUAGGAGGUUUCCGCCUCUUAGUGCCG
rnacentral:rRNA from 1 species